rnacentral:lncRNA from 1 species
AUGUCGGAAAUCAUCUUGGAAAACAAACCUAAGCUCAUCAAAUGGCUUAGUUUGGAUUAUAAAUUUGUUUUGCAACAUGUUCAAGCUAAAAAACUUAUAACACAGUCGCACUAUGAUGACUUGAUGGCCAUGAAGGCGAGCGACAGUAUCAUCAAACUUCUGGACAUCAUCCGUAGAAGAGGAGAAAAUGUGUGUCGAGAUUUUCUGGAUUUGCUAAAAGAUGAUGAUGUGAAUGAAAUAUCGCCGGAGCUAAGAGACUGGGUCAAAACAGUUGACUCAGAAGACCAGAAAACAGAAAAAUACAAAGGAAGAGCAAGUGUUAACAGACCUAAACAAGAAACUGCCAACAUGACAGGACAAUCACGCAUCCAAGUAAACAGCAAAAUCUCUGCAUCAGAUGGCAGCAGUGUAAUUUCGCCUACCAUAAUUGGUGGAAAUCUAGGGUCCUUUAUAAUGAAUACGACGGUUGCACCCUCUGGCAGAUCAGAUGUGCAGACAAAUUACCAAGAAACCUGAUAGAGACUGUGAACACAGGCCAGUACAAGAUUAUCAGAAGUUUCUAAAAUAAAACACCAGUCUGCUGGUUCAACAAGUGAAGAACAUUGAUCCAAUUAUUGAUGAUCUCGACCUACAUGAUGAAUCCGUUGCAGUUGUGAGAGUGAAGCCAACAGAUCAAGAGAAGAUGAGGAAACUGCUUACCGAACUGCUGAACAGCUACUGAGUGUUGUAUUGUUUACCCACCGGAUUAGCAGCAUGUUAUUAAAGGAAAUGGAAUAUUGUACUGUCAAUGCCAACAAUAAAUUUUUAAUGUUUUGAUAGUAAAAGUGAUAGUUAUUGGAGUUUUCCUUUUUAUAUAAACUGAGAACCAAGUAUAUUGUACAAACAGGCCUACAUGUAACCAAACAUGUCAGGGAUAUAUAUAUAUGUGUGUAUAUAUAUAUAUAUAUAUAUAUAUAUAUAUAUGUGUGUGUGUGUGUGUGUGUGUGUGUGUGUGUGUGUGUGUGUGUGUGUACAUUUUAUCAAUAUAACGGCUUGCUAUGAAGCACACUUGGAUUUUGUUUUAGUAAGUGGUCUAGUAAGUGAUGGAUGGCAUUUUACAUCGAUCUAUCUAAAAUUCUAUUAACUUAAAAAGCACAUUUCUACUAGUCUAUUUGCAUAGUUUUACUACUGGCGAAAUUAGCUCUCAGAGUCAUGACAGACCCACCCCCCCACCUCCCACCGGUUUCACGUACAGCCGUUUACACCCAUGUCAAACACAAACACAACUGGAGGUGCAGUAGAAGAACUCAGUCACUAGGUGGGGAUGGUGGUUCAGUACAACGAGUGAAGAGACGGAAGAAGGGGCUUGAACCGUGUCUAAAAGCACCUGUUGGCACAGGUAAAAAUAAAUACAAAUAUAAUAUGAAUUGUAAUUCAUUGCUCAAUCUAUAGAGAUUUAUUACACUCAGGUGGGUAAGUUACAGUUAUAUUUAUGGUCACAGCACCUAGCAGAUUCUGUUUGGGGAUGCAUUCAUGCUGCUUGGUGGUUUGAGGUUUGUUUUUGUAAACCGUUUGUAAGGAUUGCUUCAUUCUCAUCUAUUAGACUGUGGGGAAUUGUGGGAAAUUGUAAGCGCUCAGAAGGGCACACAGAGAACCUUGUCAGGCAUUACUGCACUAGAGAUUACAUAAAAAGUAACAU